UGAAUUAUAUAAAACUUUCCCGUGAAAAUCCGAUUUUCACUUUCUCCUCCUGUCAUUUAAAAAUCUACACUUUUUUUUGUAAAAUAAAAAAUGUUCACUUCGCCCCCUGCCAUUAGUAAUCCGUCAGGGUUUUCUUUAUAAAAUAUUAUUAUAUAUUUUUUUAUGCCAAAAAUGUCCUCAGCCUUCUUUUCUGUAAAUAUGGUGAGAGGCAAAAUGGUGAGAGGCAAAAUGAUCAUUUUAUCAUCACAGUUCACACCGUACCUUCUGUGAAUAUUUUUUAUUUUACAAGGGGGCAAAGUAUAGAUUUUUAAAUGACAUAGGGGAAAAGUAAAAAAUCGAGUUUUGACAAAGAAGUUUUCUGUAAUUUAGCCAAUUUUUAUAUGUUAUGUUAUAUAUGAUGGGCAGAUUUUUAAUU
rnacentral:lncRNA from 1 species